GAUGAACGCUGGCGGCGUGCCUAAUACAUGCAAGUCGAACGGUGAUAGCAAUAUCAUAGUGGCGACCGGGUGCGUAACACGUAGCUGACCUGCCCCUCAGCGGGGACGAACACCGGGAAACUGGUGCUAAUACCGCAUAGUUUCGAGAGAAUUAGAACAUCUCGAAUAAACUUACGGGGCGUGAGGGAGGGGCUGCGGCCCAUCAGGUAGUUGGUGAGGUAACGGCUCACCAAGCCGACGGACGGGUAGGGGCCUGGAGAGGGUCGGUCCCCCACACCUGGGACUGACAACGGCCAGACUCCUACGGGAGCAGCAGUAAGGAAUAUUGCGCAAU
rnacentral:rRNA from 1 species